rnacentral:rRNA from 1 species
UUGGAGGGCAAGUCUGGUGCCAGCAGCCGCGGUAAUUCCAGCUCCAAUAGCGUAUAUUAAAGUUGUUGCAGUUAAAAAGCUCGUAGUUGAACUUCGGGGUUUACCCAUUGGUCAGGCUUAAUUGUCUGUACUGGUGAGAUGAAUCUCUACCUUCUGAGGAACUUUCAUGCCAUUUAUUUGGUGUGAUGGGAAAUCAGGACUGUUACUUUGAAAAAAUUAGAGUGUUUAAAGCAGGCUAACGUCUGAAUACAUUAGCAUGGAAUAAUGAAAUAGGACGGACUGAUUCUAUUUCGUUGGUUUCUAGGAUCACCGUAAUGAUUAAUAGGGAUAGUUGAGGGCAUUAGUAUUCAAUUGUCAGAGGUGAAAUUCUUGGAUUUAUUGAAGACUAACUACUGCGAAAGCAUUUGCCAAGGAUGUUUUCAUUAAUCAAGAACGAAAGUUAGGGGAUCGAAGACGAUCAGAUACCGUCGUAGUCUUAACCAUAAACUAUGCCGACUAGGGAUCGGACGAAGUUAAUUUUAUAAUGACGCGUUCGGCACCUUACAGGAAACCAAAGUGUUUGGGUUC